AGAUGAUACAUAUUGGAGAGUAUUAGAAUCACUUUUCAUUUAGUAUUCUUUCUCUCUCCUUUAGUUAUAGAUUUAUGCGAUUAAGUUCCAUAAGACCUCUCCUUCUGAAAUUUUCUUUCUCCCCCUUAAUUGAUCAUUCCAUUUAAGAGUUUAGAAUCCUAAGAUAAUGUUCAAUAAAAUUGUCAAUCUCAAAAAUAUAUUUUCUAUAAGUUCAUAAAAAUCAAUCCAUAAGAUUUAAGGUAUACAUCAAAUUGAAGUAACUUUAGGAUAAGAUACUGAAUAUCUAAAGCUCCCCCUCAAAAGAUGCAUACUUCUUUAAUCAUUCUUUUCUUUUGUUGAAUUUCAGAUUUUAAUG
rnacentral:lncRNA from 1 species